GGGGGGAGGCUGGAUCCUGCGCUGUGUCCCAGCGCCCAGUGCUCUGGAGCCUGCGCUGUUGGAUUCGGGCUUCCAGAAUCCGAUUUGUGACCC
rnacentral:pre_miRNA from 1 species